UCUAUAAAUCACAAGUAAAUUCUCAAUUAACUGCAGCUUUCUCCAUCUGACACCUGUCUUAAGUCCCAAAUUAUCAUCUUUCACAAUUUUUGCUUUACAAAUCUCAAAUUAAAACACAAAAAAAACACUUAUUUUACUUUUGCGACAGAAAAAAAAAAACGCAAAAGCUAAAAACUGCUACCCUCUUCCCCCACGAUCUCCACUUCACCUUAAUUCGAUCAGUUAUGGAACACCAAGCUGAUUUCAUUCAAAAACCUCUCAAUCUCUUCCUUUUCUCAUCCCUGUUUCUCUUUCCUUUAAUCGGAUUCAUAAUCGAUACUUUAUUCUCCAGAUAUGCCGCUUGAUAUUACGCCUAUUUCUUAGUUAACACUAGCAUCAGAUCCAUGUAAAAUCAAUGUUCGAAUUGUCCGUCUUUGGGAAUUUCCAAAAAAAAGAUAAACCAGAAGAAUUUUCUAGAAUCGAUCUUCUCCUUGUGGACAAAAGGGAAGUAGGAUACAAGCUUACGUGAAAGGAAAAUUACUCUCAAAAUUGUUAGAAGAAACCAUACCUUCAACUAAUGAGCAUUGGCAACAGAGUCAUCUUCAUGGUGAAAGUUGUUAACCUUGCUUUAAAAAGAAUGAUUGGACUUAUAAUCGCUUUCUGGAAUUCCUUCUCAGAUCGGAAAAUAAGAAAAGGAAAAUGAAAGAAAUUAUUGCUUUAUCA